UGCCCUAACCCACGACCGGUAACUGGCGCAGUCGGACUCGUCAUUGGACUAGAAGAAGAGCCGAGGACGAAGACCCCACGCAAUGCAGAUUGGAAUAAUAUUAUUAGCAAAAUGUAUACAAGUUAAGUGCAUCGCAUAAGAACCAACUAGGUUCCCGAGUGAAACAGGCGCCUAUGCCCACUCGCAACGAUCAACAAAGGGCCACCUAGGCUCACGGAUGAAACAGGCGCCUAUGCCCAUCCGCUACGAAAUGUUCAAUCAGCAAGUGUAUUCGUUAGCCGUGUUCUAUUUGUUCACACGCUAUCCUCUAUAUGGCAGUGUGAGUUGCCGAAUUCAUAUCGGUCGAAUAGUUCGCUUACAUUACAGUAGCUGAUGUGAACAUACAUACAAAACGUACAAAAAAAAAAUACAUAUA